rnacentral:rRNA from 1 species
CAAUAGCGUAUACUAAAGUUGUUGCAGUUAAAAGCUCGUAGUUGGAUUUCUGCGCGGGUGGGGCGUCCACUGGCCUUAGGCCAGUUUGGACAGCAACGCACGCGCAUCCUGCCGCGAACCACGCUACCAUUAGUUUGGUGGCGUCUGGGGAUCGGCUCGUUUACUUUGAGAAAAUAGAGUGUUCAAAGCAGGCAUCGUGCCUUGAAUAAUGUAGCAUGGAAUAAUGAUUAAGGACUUUGGUUCUAUUUUGUUGGUGUUCGGGACUGAAGUAAUGAUUGAUAGGGACAGUUGGGGGCGUCUGUAUUCUGAAGCGAGAGGUGAAAUUCUUAGACCUUCGGAGACAAACCGCUGCGAAAGCGUUCGCCAAGGAUGUUCCCUUUGAUCAAGAACGAAAGUUGGGGGAUCGAAGACGAUCAGAUACCAU